UCAGGCUUCGAUUUCAGCAGCAGAGGCAUGGGAUGGAUGUGCCAGGCGCCCGGGAAGGGCCUGGAGUUCGUCGCGGGUAUCAACAGUAGUGGUGGUUACACCGAGUACGCACCAGGGGUCAAGGGGCGCUUCACCAUCUCCAGGGACAUCUCCCAGAGCACGGUGACGCUGCGGAUGAGCGGCCUCAAGGCCAACGCAACGGCCACCUACUACUGCGCCAAAGAAGCUGGUGGUGGUUAUGCUGGUGCUGCUGGUGGCUGGCGGGCGGCCGUGACACUGGUGGAGUCCGGCGGUGGCCUCCAGCCCCCCGGGGGGUCCCUGACCCUCGGCUGCGAGGCCUCAGGCUUCACUUUCGGCAGCUACAACAUGCACUAUGGUAACACCUACUACGCGCCAGGGGUCCAGGGGCGCUUCACCAUCUCCAGGGACAACUCCCAGAGCACGGUGAUGCUGCGGAUGAGCGGCCUCAAGGCCGACGACACGGCCACCUACUACU